rnacentral:rRNA from 1 species
GAUGAACGCUGGCGGCGUGCCUAAUACAUGCAAGUCGAGCGAACAGACGAGGAGCUUGCUCCUCUGACGUUAGCGGCGGACGGGUGAGUAACACGUGGAUAACCUACCUAUCAGACUGGGAUAACUUCGGGAAACCGGAGCUAAUACCGGAUAAUAUCUUGAACCGCAUGGUUCAAUAGUGAAAGACGGUUUUGCUGUCACUUCUAGAUGGAUCCGCGCCGCAUUAGCUAGUUGGUAAGGUAACGGCUUACCAAGGCAACGAUGCGUAGCCGACCUGAGAGGGUGAUCGGCCACACUGGAACUGAGACACGGUCCAGACGCCUACGGGAGGCAGCAGUAGGGAAUCUUCCGCAAUGGGCGAAAGCCUGACGGAGCAACGCCGCGUGAGUGAUGAAGGUCUUCGGAUCGUAAAACUCUGUUAUUAGGGAAGAACAAAUGUGUAAGUAACUAUGCACGUCUUGACGGUACCUAAUCAGAAAGCCACGGCUAACUACGUG